CCCCCUCCGGCCCUCCCCCGAUUCCUCUCCUACCCGAGAUACAUAACGACGACGCAGCCACCGCCACCUUCGAUUUGGGGUAACUCCGGCGCUCUGCCGCACCAUAGCUCACUGGCCUUGCUCCACCUUAGUGCUUCUGGCCAAUCCUCCUCCACGGGGACGUCCUCCACGCCCCUACACGUGUCUAUACAUCAUCCCUAGUCGGCACGGGUCGCCGGCGUAGCUCCUACCCCUCCAGUUUGUCGGCUCACUAACCCCCACAUCUCCGGAUGCGCGGUUGCCGCCAUAGGCUCGAUGGUGCUACUCCGCCUCGUCAACCUUGACCCAGACGGCGAUUUUUUAGUGAGACACUUCUCCCCUCUGUUCCACUCUGUUCUUAUCCUCUGUGCUUUAUGUGGCAGGGCUAUCUAGGGUUUGCCGUUGUGGCGUCGUAGAUGACAGCUGGAUAUAUAUACCUAUGGCAGCACGGCACCUCUCCCCAGGGAGGCUGCCAUGGUCGCCUACUGCCUACCCCACCGCUCAGCAGGAUUAUCUCCCUGAAGAACAUUACCGUUCCCUUAUUCCCACAAAUCUGUUCCCCCCUAAUUUACAACAUGGUGGCUUCUAUAAUUCCAUUGGCAUUUGGUGCCCUAGCUUCUCUAACCUUCCACAUGUUCCAUGGGUGGACCAAUUACUGUACUUAAAUUAAGGUGUGAUCCUCACUUUUUUUUUGAAGGAAACCCGGUCCUCUAAUUUUGCUAUGCAUGUUUCUGCUGGUGAUCCCCUGAUUUAGUUGUGCAGACCAUAUUGUGUUCGCACCUAUAUUACCCAUAUAUAUGUACUUAUUUCUCUAGACGUCUAUCAUACUCUUGAGUGUUAGAUUAUACUAUAGAGCAAAAUAAUUGUUUUGCCUCAAAUGACUAUUCACCAGUCUUGUUUAUAUCAAUGCUUGCAUCCUUCGAGGCCUCUCGGUAGAGAAUCUAGUUUUCGGUGGAAACAAGGGUGAUCAUGCAUUAUUUAUUCACUCCUGUUACUAAAGCUUCUGUUGUCAAGGAGGCAGUGAUAUUCUAAGUGCAUAACUACUCCUUCGUCAGUAAGAUUAAGCAUUAUUAUAUAGAAUGGCAUAUUAAAAAUCCAUAUAGAUCACAGUCUAGACAUCUCACACUUGCUAGCAUGCGAAAGUAUGUAGGUAAAUUUGAUCCAUUUGAAUGAUUUUUUUUAACUUCAAGUACUUCUAAAUUAUGAAAUCUUUGUAUUUAUUUGGAUAUUAUGAUGAAUUGCAAUCUUCUUAAGAUCGGAAGGAUGCAUCACAACAAAGAAUGCUUCGUGAGAUGCCACAGUACAUCUUUUAUUCUCACUAGUAUGUGAAUUUUAAGUUGUUAUUUAGUGAACUAUGGUCUUGUAGGUUUACACAAUAUUAAAGAUACAAAGCUACCUAAGGUAAUCAGAUUACGCAUUUGCAUGUGUGCUGCAACAUGUGAAGAUAAAUAGGACGAGCGAUGAUGGCAGCACGACAAUGGCAUCAUGUAGGAUAAUAACUGUAACAACUCUUCUGUGCGUCCGCCUAUUCAUAUGCUCUGACUUUAGAAGUACAAACCAACAAAAAGAAAGAUGAAGAAUGUGCAAUUUCUUAUGGCUGCAACUGGCAGGAACUAUCUUGAGGAUAUGCAUUAUGUUAUAGCUGAUGCCAAGAGAGACUGAUCAUUUUGGUUUUAGUUAAUGAAUGUUGAACUUGUCAGUCUAGAUGCUCAUGUGAUGAGCUUAUUUUUUGUUUCCUUCAAUGAAGCUUCGAUCUGUUUCUAUGUAGAGUGCACAUGUUCUUGUUAAACACAUGUGUACAAGCUGAAGGUGUUCUUUGUAAAGCAACACUGUGUUCUUUGGAUGAUGUUCUUUAUAAAACAACAUUGUUGAUUUAAUA